UCUUGGCGAGAAGCUGACAGAUGAGGAGGUCGAUGAGAUGAUCCGUGAGGCAGAUGUGGAUGGUGAUGGCCAGAUCAACUAUGAGGAGUUUGUCAAAGUUAUGAUGGCCAAGUAAGGACUUCUCAAUUAAAACUAUGCUUAAAAAGCUGAAAAAGAAAAAGAAAGUUAACAGGGCAGAUAAGUUUGAUAUGAAAAAUCCUAUUUCGCUGUAGGGUAUCUUCAUUUGGUGUUAGUAGCUUUGGUUGGGUUGUUUGUUUCUUGUUUGCAUCAUUUUGUGGAACUUUUUAUUACUUUCUACUUGUUUGCUCUGUUUCUUGUCAGUAGCUUGGUUUGUUAGUUUCUCUCCUGUAUUGUUUUUU
rnacentral:misc_RNA from 1 species